UUGGCAAUUAAGAACUGGCAUGAUAGUUUGUUAAGUAACAAAUAAGCUCUGCUGUUGGGAUGAUUCAAUUUGGCUGUGAUCUGAGCCAGUCGGAGACAACGAUUAAGAUUCUAGGACUUGGUGAGAAAGUGAAAGCUGAUCAGCAAGAAGACUCGCCACUCACCUCAUUGUGUUGAUGAUCAAGCCAGAAAAUAGUGCAGCUGAUCAAAGAUGGUUAUCACCGUGUUCCUACUGGUUAACAAGUCUAGGCUAGUUCACUUACCAAGGUUUGCAGGUUCCGCCCAUACCAGGGCCAACUUCUCAUCAAGAUUUGCUGACCCUUGAGGCAACCUGAGGCAACACCAUUUGGACUGAAGAUCAGAGGAAGACUGGAGAUCAGAUCAAUGGAAGGAAUCUUAUCAGAAUACAAGGAUCAGCAUUGAAGACACACACUCGAAGGCAGGCCGGAAGACAACAAUAGGCCAUGAUGGUGGCUUCAGACUGAAACAUUAACAACUGUUCGGGGUGACUGGAGCCAUACCUCUGCUCUUCUGCAAACCAAAAGCUAUGUGUAGAUGGCAAGAGAGGCGAGUCAUGACGUUAAGGAGCAAGAACAGCAAGAUUCGGGCAAGUCAUGAUGUUCACACCAUUGACAGCACCAGAGGGGCACUAUUAUAAACGACAGAGCGAGGACAGUAGAUAUAUCUACAACCAUUCUUAUAUCGAACUUCUACAGGUGCGUGGCGGUCUUUGGAGCACCAUUUGCAGACUUGUUGCGAAAAACCUGAGGGCGAGAACAAAGCAGGCAAUGCUGGUUUGGAAGCCUGUUUCAAGAUCAGAGGGCGUGGAUGUCACCGACGCAAUCCAAGAGAGACCCGUCACCACACUACAUCAGAAAGACAAAGCAGUUUGCUUCGCCAUCCACUGACAAACUGUCAAAAGCUAUGGUCCAUCAAUGAGGUCCUCAGAAAGUACACUACUACAUGUGGAGAACAUUGCGAGCAUGAAGAAUAUCAGGAAGGACUGUGAGCCACAACAAAUACAUGGUCAUUCACUUCUUCAGCAG